rnacentral:rRNA from 1 species
AGAGUUUGGAUCUGGCUCAGAUUGAACGCUGGCGGCAGGCCUAACACAUGCAAGUCGAGCGGAAACGACACAUUGAAUCUUCGGAGGAUUUGUUGGGCGUCGAGCGGCGGACGGGUGAGUAAUGCCUAGGAAAUUGCCUUGAUGUGGGGGAUAACCAUUGGAAACGAUGGCUAAUACCGCAUAAUGCCUACGGGCCAAAGAGGGGGAUCUUCGGACCUCUCGCGUCAAGAUAUGCCUAGGUGGGAUUAGCUAGUUGGUGAGGUAAUGGCUCACCAAGGCGACGAUCCCUAGCUGGUCUGAGAGGAUGAUCAGCCACACUGGAACUGAGACACGGUCCAGACUCCUACGGGAGGCAGCAGUGGGGAAUAUUGCACAAUGGGCGAAAGCCUGAUGCAGCCAUGCCGCGUGUAUGAAGAAGGCCUUCGGGUUGUAAAGUACUUUCAGUUGUGAGGAAGGGUGUGUAGUUAAUAGCUGCASAUCUUGACGUUAGCAACAGAAGAAGC